rnacentral:rRNA from 1 species
GAUGAACGCUAGCUACAGGCUUAACACAUGCAAGUCGAGGGGUAACGAGAGGAAAGCUUGCUUUCCUUGUCGACGACCGGCGCACGGGUGAGUAACGCGUAUCCAACCUGCCCCCAACUAAGGAAUAACCGUGCGAAAGUAAGACUAAUACCUUAUAAUUUCCUCAGAUGACAUCUGACGAGGAAUAAAGAUUUAUCGGUUGUGGAUGGGGAUGCGUCUGAUUAGCUUGUUGGCGGGGUAACGGCCCACCAAGGCAACGAUCAGUAGGGGUUCUGAGAGGAAGGUCCCCCACAUUGGAACUGAGACACGGUCCAAACUCCUACGGGAGGCAGCAGUGAGGAAUAUUGGUCAAUGGGCGGAAGCCUGAACCAGCCAAGUAGCGUGCAGGAUGACGGCCCUAUGGGUUGCAAACUGCUUUUAUACAGGAGUAAAGUUAGCCACGUGUGGUUAUUUGUAGGUACUGUAUGAAUAAGGACCGGCUAAUUCCGUGCCAGCAGCCGCCGUAA